AGAGGAAAGUAUAUAGGAGUUAUAGAAGUUAAUUAAGGUGCCAGACUGUAAUAGUCAUGAGCCGAGGGCCAUCGCUGUGAUAGUUGUUAGCCGGGGUAAGCUUGGUGCUAUCUCUUUUCUUUUGUUUGUUAUUUUCUUUGAAUAAGAGGAUUGAGAGUUUUUGAAUAUUGUGAAGUGAAUUAUGGAAUAAAAAUGUGAUUGGUAUUAUUUGAGAAGAAGAAAGAUUGAAUGCUGAAAUCUGAUUGUAGUUCAGUAGAGAGAAUGAGUCUGUGUUUAUGUGAAACACCGUAAUGUGAAUGGCAGUUCUAUGUGAAGAAUUCCAGUGAUUGGAAUGAGGGUAAUUGUGUGCUGAAAGCUAUGAGGGCAUAGUAUUACAGUUGGAGAUUAUGAGGGUGAAUAUAUUGGUAGAAAUAGCAGUUAUUGGUAUGACUGAAUUACUGUAAGGAAGAGACCAAUAAGGUGAAGGAGGAGAUUAUAGUUUCCUUGUGUAUUCAGAUAUUGGAAAUAGAGAUGAUAC
rnacentral:lncRNA from 1 species